CAGCAGCCACGGUAAUACGGAGGGUGCAAGCGUUAAUCGGAAUUACUGGGCGUAAAGCGCACGCAGGCGGUUUGUUAAGUCAGAUGUGAAAUCCCCGGGCUCAACCUGGGAACUGCAUUUGUGACUGGCAAGCUAGAGUGUGGCAGAGGGGGGUGGAAUUCCGCGUGUAGCAGUGAAAUGCGUAGAUAUGCGGAGGAACACCGAUGGCGAAGGCAGCCCCCUGGGCCAACACUGACGCUCAUGCACGAAAGCGUGGGGAGCAAACAGGAUUAGAUACCCCGGUAGUCCCUGUCUCUUAUAC
rnacentral:rRNA from 1 species